CUGCUCGUCCAGCGGGCUGGCCCUGUCCAUGGGGCGUAGGGGCUACCCGCGCCCUUCGACGCCCGCACGCGCCUCCUUCUGCCCUUCCGCCGCGGACGAUGCCGACUUCUCUGAGUCUAAUGCGAUCCUGGUGGUGGCCACGCCCUGCGAGAGUCUGCUGCUGCUCAGCCCAGCGUCUUGCCGUGGCGGGCGCAUGUCGUUGGAGCUCUGGUUGUCGGUUCCAGAGUCGGGUGGUUCCACACAGGGGCGCAUAUCCCGUUGUGCCACCAAUCACUUAAUUCGGCUCUCUUGAGCUGCCCGGCUUCGGCGGCGAAGAUGAUGGCGAUGCCUAGGACAUAACGGCCACAUAGGAUGAAACUAGCAGAGAUGAAGAAGGCGGUGGUCGUUGGGAGGAGAAGAUUGCUCGGAAGCUGGAGGACGUGCACCAGCUGCGGUUGCUGGACAACCGCUACGUUUAGUGGCUGAGGGAAUUGUUGGGCUACGAGAAUCAGUCGCUGAUAAGAGGGCUGAGGCUGAGAAGAUCAAGAGGGAUCAGAGAUUGUGCUCAAUUGUUGGUGGUCAGGACGUCAGUUUGCAGGAGUUAUCUGAAGAAAGGACUCACUAUCUGGUUAAAUGUUCCAUUGGAUGCCCUUGCAAGAAGGAUUGCUGCGGUGGUUCAGCGUCAUUACCCCUCCUGCAUCAACAAUCUGGUGAUCCAUAUGCAAAGGUUCAGAAGAGCUAUUUUGUGUACAUGAGUUGCUACUGGCAGUGGACAGAUUGUCUAUGCAGAGUGCGUAGAGAAAAAAAUGCUCACAUACAAACACAAACGACAUCCAGUAGGCGCUUGGAACACCCGACAGAUUGAAAGCACAGAAGCAAAGAUUUCCAAUACGAGGCCACGAUGCCCGACAGAGAUGUAGCCAAUAUGUGCCCAAUCCUUAUUUCUUGAUGUUGGAACAACAAGUAAGAGCAUGUUCAUGUUUACUUAUUAUGUUUUUUGAGAAAUUUAUGGGAUUUACAAGCUCAAAUUAUUGACUGCUUCAAAAUAUGUUUUAACCAAAACUGUUUGCACGAUAUUUCCCUGGUUCUGCAUUCAUGGAAUUGCUAAAAAAAUGAACAAGUUCAGUGAUAGUUUUGUUCCUAUUAAUAUUUCGUCCAAGGUGCCAGUUUGUUUCUUAAGUUUUUCUUUUAACUUCAAAAUUCAGAGGAAGUCAAUGUUUGUUUUAUAGUUCAAACCAAUCACUGGUAAGAUCUAUUCCAAAACGAUAUUGUCUCUUGAUGCGAGGUUACCAAAAUAUAUUCUUCAUCAUGGCCAAAGAUAAAUUUAAUUCCGGGUUAAAAACUUUAGAAUAACUGUGUUUAUAGAUUUUCUAGCUAAGGGUUGCUUUUGUUUAGCUGGAACUCAAAUCAUAAUUAGAUGUACCUAAAAUGAUGAUUUCGGCUCCGUGCUAGCUAUUUCUGAUUUUGAAGCUAUCCUUGCACAUUACAUUAUACAAGUUGAAAACUGUGCGGAGUGGAAGUUGGUACUAAAGCGGACUGCUCUUUUUGAUCUGCACACAAAUUUCUGUUAUAAUAUGUGCCACUCAUUUUGUUACCAAGUUGGGAUGAUUUUUACCACUUUGUUUUAAUUCAGUAAUUCCCGCGCUCACCUAAUAUUCUUUUAGGAUGCUUCCCAUCUCGACAAAUUUAUCAUACCACAAUUUAUGCAUAAUGAUACUUCCUCUGUCCCAAAAUUCUUGUCUUGGAUUCGUCUAGAUAUGGAUGUAUCUAAUAUUAAAACAUGACUUGAUACAUCCGUAUUUAGACAAAUUUAAGACAAGAAUUUUGAGACGAUGGGAGUAAAAUACUCAUGGCAGUAUGCCAAACGCAUUUUAGUAUAUUCCCGUUGGUUAUGUAGUGAUUUUUAGCACAAAAAUGGGACCCACUGCCAUUAUAGGUAUGAGGAAUUACAACCCGGUGCUGGGAGGGGAUCGCAAAAGCUGUGUGCUAGAGUGUAAUGCACAAGCAAUCUGUAGAUUUUUUUGGUGGAGGGGCUUAAUAAGUCUUUUGCCCCCUCAGGAAACUAUGUUCCGUGUUUGGUCCCUCCAGGCAUUCCUGUGAGACUCUGCCUCUGAUGUAAUGACCAAGCUCACCACCUUGGGGUUGAUCACAUUCGUUGUGAAUAGGUGGACGAUGUGACCAUUAUCGACAAUGUGGUGAGCAGGAGAAGUGGAAAUACAGACUAUGACGUACAAGGAUUUGUUUCUCCCGUUGCAACGCACGGGCCCUUUUCCUAGUAAUAAUAAUAAUAAUAAUAUAAUAUAAUAAUAAUAAUAAUAUAAUAAUAAUAAUAAACCACCGAUUGCUUCUGGUCGUACGUCGUCAGCGAUCUUACAAAAAAGCCCCUCUAUUUUCAAGAAUUCAACCUGUAGUCCCUGUUUAAGUGGAUCGGGGAAAACGAUUCGUUUUUGCACAAAACACCCUGUCGUUUGGAUUAUUCAACCCGUGGUCCGAGCAAAUUUGAGUAGAGAAAAAAACACGACCAAAGGAGGAGAACGGGCUCGCCUCCUCUCCCUCUCGCUCAAGUCCUCGCCGCCGCCACCACCCACGCCGGCAGCUUCCGGCGAGCUCCGACGCCGCGCAGCACGCCCCCCAACUCCCCAUAGUCCGCUCCUCCCUACCCUCCGGCCAGAUUCUCCGCUCCCGGCCUCUACCGCCCGCUCGAAACGCCACCCCCAUGGCUAGGGUUUCGGGCAGGGCUUCGCCGGCGCGUCUCCGGCGGCCCAGAUGCAGAUGGAGCACGCCAUGGGAAUUCCCCAUCCACCAUGGUCGCCGCCAUCAAGGGCUUCUUCACGGAGAUGUGGAGGACGCCAUGGACCUGCAGCUCCAAGGUCAACAGGGAGGAACCCUAGCCAUAAGCACCUCCUCGGAUGACGCCUCUGCUACACCAAGAUAGAGAUAUAUAUGAUAUCUACAUGGCUGCUAUGCUACUUUCUUUGUGUGAUGAAUCAUUGUGAGUUUCGAAGAAACUUCCAAUGUUACCUCCGCCAAGUUUGCCGGCAGAAGAAGCACAUCCAUUGAGCCGUUCAAUGUCGCCUGCGGUGGCUACACCAGAGGGUAACCAUGGUAGCAUCUUGAGCCCAAGAACAGUGUUACUGCCAUUUAACGCCGCGAUGUUUUAGCUCCAGGAAUUUGGACCCUCCUGCGAUAAGAAUCAGUUGAAAAGGAAAAUUCAUGCAACAAGGAUUUGACCCUAAACUCUUUUGAUUAUACAAACUACAAAGUGAUCUAAUUUCCAUUUUCUCCCUAUGCAGUCAAUCAAAAGUCUUAUUGGCACUUCUUGCUGCUACUACAUUCAUGAUGACCACUGUGUCAAGCCUUCCAAGUAUCUGCUCUCCUGAUGUUUACACAAGGGAGACACUACUAAGGAAGCAGAACAUGGAGAAGUUUUCUUGAUGUUUACACAAGGGAGAUGAUACUAAAGAAGCAGAUCGCGAAGAAGUUUCAAUGAAUUAGAGAGUUAUAGAUGCCAGCUGGUCCUCUACAUAUCUGUUACCUGAUAAAAAUAAGAAAAAUGCAUGUGCUGCAUUCAUUAGGGCUAAUAGCUCUCAAUUUUGCCAAUGGUAAUGGGCUGUUGGGUAUCAACCGAAUGACAAUAGUGGCCUGAGGGGUGGUAACAUGGUUGCCUCUUGCGGAAUAGCCAUUUAGAUAUUAUUUUGUUG